GACGAACGCUGGCGGCGUGCUUAACACAUGCAAGUCGAACGGAAAGGCCCUGCUUUUGUGGGGUGCUCGAGUGGCGAACGGGUGAGUAACACGUGAGUCACCUGCCCUUGACUUUGGGAUAACUUCAGGGAACUAGGGCUAAUACCGGAUAGGCGCUCCUGCUGCAUGGUGGGGGUUGGAUAGUUUCGGCGGUUGGGGAUGGACUCGCGGCUUAUCAGCUUGUUGGUGGGGUAGUGGCUUACCAAGGCUUUGACGGGUAGCCGGCCUGAGAGGGUGACCGGCCACAUUGGGACUGAGAUACGGCCCAGACUCCUACGGGAGGCAGCAGUGGGGAAUAUUGCACAAUGGGCGGAAGCCUGAUGCAGCAACGCCGCGUGCGGGAUGACGGCCUUCGGGUUGUAAACCGCUUUCGCCUGGGACGAAGCGUGAGUGACGGUAAUUGGUAAAGAAGCACCGGCUAACUACGUG
rnacentral:rRNA from 1 species